UACGGAGGGUGCAAGCGUUAUCCGGAUUUACUGGGUUUAAAGGGUGCGUAGGUGGAUUGGUAAGUCAGUGGUGAAAUACUUUCGCUUAACGAAGGAACUGCCAUUGAUACUAUCAAUCUUGAAUGUAGUGGAGGUAGGCGGAAUGCGUCAUGUAGCGGUGAAAUGCUUAGAUAUGACGCAGAACACCAAUUGCGAAGGCAGCUUGCUACACUACUAUUGACACUGAGGCACGAAAGCGUGGGGAUCAAACAGG
rnacentral:rRNA from 2 species